AUACGUAGGGGGCGAGCGUUGUCCGGAAUGAUUGGGUGUAAAGGGUACGCAGGCGGCCUAUUAAGUUUGACGUGAAAGCCCGGGGCUUAACCCCGGCAAGCGUUGAAAACUGGUAGGCUUGAAUAGUGGAAGAGACAGUGGAAUUCCUAGUGUAGCGGUGAAAUGCGUAGAGAUUAGGAAGAAUACCGAUGGCGAAAGCAACUGUCUGGACACAUAUUGACGCUGAGGUACGAAAGCGUGGGGAGCAAACAGGAUUAGAUACCCUGGUAGUCCACGCCGUAAACGCUGAGUGCUAGGUGUUGGGGGUCAAACCUCGGUGCCGACGUUAACACAUUAAGCACUCCACCUGGGGAGUACGCACGCAAGUGUGAA
rnacentral:rRNA from 1 species